AACCUGGUUGAUCCUGCCAGUAGUCAUAUGCUCCGUUCAAGGGCUAAGCCAUGCAUGUCUCAGCGCAAACGGAACAACAGUGGGUCUGUGAAUGGCUCCUUACAUCAGCAGUCAUCCAGGUGACAAAGUGUGUGGUUGGCACCACCUGUCACGAGCAGGCCAGGUGCCCAGUUGGACAUCCACGAAAACCUUGUGGCUAAUACACGUCUGCCGAAGUCGGCUGUGUUCACACAGGCCCUCUCAGCGAUUGGCUGACACCUGCGCAGUCGGUUGCUACCAGCCGGUCGAAAGACCAGGCACCCCGAGAGAGGGUAGCGUGUCCACGGUUGAUUCAGGCUGGUCCAUCUCUGGAAAGGACACACCAGCGCUGGCUGUGAUAUGUUGGUGGCCUCGUGCCACGAUAAGCUUGGUCACAGGAACUUCUGACCUAUCAGCUCGGAUUGUGGUGUAGUGGACCACAAUGGCUUUGACGGGUAACGGAGAAUCAGGGUUCGAUUCCGGAGAGGGAGCCUGAGAGACGGCUACCACUACCAAGGUGGGCAGCAGGCGCGCAAAUUGCCCAAUACAAAAUCAGUCUGUGAGGCAGCGAAGAACUGUAGCAAUCCCGCUGGAUCAUCAUCCAGUGGGACUUGGAAUGGAUGCAAUCCAAACACAGUGAUGAGUAUCAACUGGAGGGCAAGUCUGGUGCCAGCAGCUGCGGUAAUUCCAGCUCCAAGGGCGUAUACUAUCAUUGCUGCUGUUAAAACACCUGUAGUCUGCCCCUGGGUCGCAGGGCUGCCGAGUGGCCUGCUCGGGUGUGUGCGGGUCCUGUCGCCGGUCUAUCCCUCGGGAUGGGCCGUGUGGGAGGUCCGUCGUGCCUGGGUGGGGUAAAACCCUCGGCAGCAUGUCCUGUGCCCGCUUCUCGAUGACGGUGUGACUCGCUCCUGCCGAAAGCCCUCUUCACUGAGGGCCGAAAGGUGGUUGUGCCUUGGAAGCAGGCGUGGACGUAUCCUGGCCACGUUUCCCCCCUGUGGGCGUGCAAGCAGUAGCCAGUGUCCACCACCGGAGCCGACUGUCAGCGACACCCUGGAAAACUCAGUGUGCUCAAAGCGUCCAGAUACGGCUGGAUGCUCCUCCAUGGAACGUCAAAGCAUCGACCGAGCAAGGAUUAAAGAGUUGUGCUGGUCUUGGAGCCUGCUCCGGGCAAUGUGGUGCAUGGUCUAAACCGGCUCUGUGGCGGGGGCCAGGUGGUGGUGUAUGGCGCGUGGGGCUGGUUCCCCUCGGGGUUCCUUCCCGCGUCGUCCUCUGCCCCGCGCCUACUACCCCCCUACCGCACCCGGGCUUCUGAGUAUGUAUCAAGCGAAUCUGAUGGGACCGUUCGGGGUGAAAGGAACUGCAGCGCCAGAGGUGAAAUUCUUAGAUCGCUGCAAGACCCACUGCAGCGAAGGCGUUAUGCAAGGACGUGUUCGUCGAUCAAGGAUGAGAGUCUGGGGAGCGAAGAUGAUCAGACACCGUCGUAGUCCAGCACUGUAAACGAUGCCAGCAAGGCUUCGGCUGGGAAAGUCCAACAGACCCAGCCGGCGCCAUGCCCCCUACACCGAGAAAUCCACAGCCUGUGGGUUCAGGGGGGAGUACCGUCGCAAGGCUGAAACUUAAAGGAAUUGACGGAAUGGCACCACAAGGUGUGGAGUAUGCGGCUUAAUUUGACUCAACACGGGGAACGUUACCAGGUCAGGACACAGCCGGGAUGGACAGAUUGAGAGCUCUUUCUUGAUCCUGUGGACGGUGGUGCAUGGCCGCUCCUGAUUGGUGGAGUGAUUUGUCUGGUUGAUUCCGAUAACGAGUGAGAUCUCUGCCUCCCAAUAGCCUGGGGCUCGCAUUCGGUAGGGCCUGGUUCUCGGAGGGAACCCCACAUCCAAAGCGGGUCUUUCCCCGUGCGUGUCUAUCCGCGUCCAAACCCCUUCACGGGGGCGAGGGCGUGCGGUGGGGGCGUGCGGUGUGUGGGGCCCGUGUGGGGGAAAGCCCGAGACCACCCGAGAGCCUUUCUCAGUUCAGCUUCUCUGAGGUGCUGCGUACACUGCCAAGUGCGCGCAUGCUAGAGCCAACAGCAGGUCUGUGAUGCUCCCAGAUGUCCUGGGCCGCACGCGCACUACAUUGACACAGUGAAUGAGUCACAAGCCCCACUCUGUGGGCCCUGGCCGGAAGUGGUCGGGAAAUCUUGCGAGUCUGUGGCCGUACUGGGGAUAGAUGAUUGCAACUGUCUGCCUUGAACGCGGAAUACCUAGUAUGCGCAGGUCAUCAGCCUGCACAGAUUGUGUCCCUGCCAUUUGUACACACCGCCCGUCGUUGCUACCGAUGGUAGCUGGAUAGAACCAUCAGGAGGUCAGGCCAUCCCGGACGCGUGACGGUCAGGCGGCUUGCCGUCGUCGGGCCCCGCGCGCUCCAGGGCCAAGCUGAAAUUGGGUAAUGUCCUGCUGCUAGAGAAGCAAAAGUCGUAACAAGGUUGCUGUAGGUGAACCUGCAGAAGGAUCAA
rnacentral:rRNA from 1 species